UGCCAUGGGUCCUAAACAUCGCAGCAUGA
rnacentral:piRNA from 1 species